rnacentral:lncRNA from 1 species
CGCACAGAAUGACCAUAGGGAAACUCCAUUUAAUUUAAUCCAUGGAUUUGCCCUCAGAUCCAGCAAAUGCUGGAGCAUCUCAAAGGUUGCUUUGAAAACUAUAAGAUUUGUGGAGCUAGAGAAAAUUAACCACCACUACCACACCACUACCACUGGUAAAGAACUUACCUGUUCAUUCUAUUGUGCUGACCGUUCAUUCUUUUUCUAUGCAUGCACCACUGCUCGCAUCCCUUGCCACCUCCGCCUUUCCCGGC